rnacentral:rRNA from 1 species
UACGGAGGGGACUAGCGUUGUUCGGAAUUACUGGGCGUAAAGGGCGCGUAGGCGGCUGAUCAGUCAGGCGUGAAAGCCCCGGGCUCAACCUGGGAUGUGCGUUUGAUACUGUUCGAGCUAGAGACCGGAAGAGGAUGGCGGAAUAUCCAGUGUAGAGGUGAAAUUCGUAGAUAUUGGAUGGAACACCAGUGGCGAAGGCGGCCAUCUGGUCCGGAUCUGACGCUGAGGCGCGAAAGCGUGGGGAGCAAAC